ACACGACUCACGGCAAUGGAUAUCUCGGCUCUCGCAUCGAUGAAGAGCGCAGCGAAAUGCGAUACGUGGUCUUGCUCGGCCCGAGGAAAGAUUACAUAUUUGCGAAUUGCAGAAUCCCGCGAACCAUCGAAUCUUUGAACGCAAGUUGCGCCCGAGGCCAACCGGCCGAGGGCACGUCCGCCUGGGCGUCAAGC
rnacentral:rRNA from 1 species